GUCUACGGCCGUACCACCCUGAACGCACCCGAUCUCGUCUGAUCUUGGAAGCUAAGCAGGGUCGGGCCUGGUUAGUACUUGGAUGGGAGAGAGAGGGGGAGAGGGGAGGUGAGAGA
rnacentral:rRNA from 1 species